CAGCCUUCCAGGUGUACUUUGAGGUUCCCAAGUGCAGAGUAUUUCCAGGUUUCCUCUAUCAUCCCUCCAGGUCUCCUCAAGCAUCCCUCCAGGUCUCCUCUAGCAUCCCUCCAGGUCUCCUCUAGCAUCCCUCCAGGUCUCCUCUAGCAUCCCUCCAGGUCUCCUCUAUCAUCCCUUCCGGCUUCCUCUAUAAUCCCGCAAUGCCAUCCCUCAG
rnacentral:lncRNA from 1 species